rnacentral:lncRNA from 1 species
GUGGGAUGCAUGGAGAUGGAGUAUUUUGAGAAAUGAAUGUAGGCCAGCUUUCUGGAGACAUUGCUUCCAGACGUGGUUCUGCCUCGAACUAGUCGAAUCACUGGGGAAGCUGUGUUAUGGCUGUUGGCCUCUGUUUUCUGAUCUAUGAAGUAGAGACCAUGAUACCAAUUUUUCCUCAUUCUUGUUAACAGAUUCUACUGUAUUACUCACUUUGCAUCAAGAUAGGAAGAAUGGUUCUCCCUACGUGUUGCAUGUGAUCUAGUCGAGGAGUACUGUGGACAGGAUGACUUCCUCUAGAUGCAAGAGCAGACGCAGUUGAGGAUUCCAUGUUCAUCUGGCUGAGUGGAGUCAACCAGCAUGUUAGAGGAGCUGAAACUUUCUUGGUUACUGUCAAGUGGGAAAAUUCUCAGUGCUAAAAUAAUUUCCAGGUCCAAUCAAAACAAGCUUCCCCUCAAAAAACUGUCG